AUUUUAAUAACUUUCUUAAACUAUCCUGGGUUUGUACCAAACUUGGACAGAAGCUUGUUUAUGAUCAUUAGAUAGUAUCCAUAAGUAAAUUUUGUAAAUAAAUAAAUCCAUUUUUUCCAUAUUUUACUUUUAAAUGGACUUAGUUUUUCUGCUGGGAACCAUUACAUUCACUCUGUGGUUAAAGUUUUUAAAAUUUUAAUAACUUCCUUAAACUAUCCUGGGUUUGUACAAAACUUGAACAGAAGCUUAUUUAUGAUCAUAAGAUUGUAUCCAGAAGUAAAGUUUGUAAAA
rnacentral:lncRNA from 1 species